GUCCCCUGAACCUUCCAGCAAUGCAGUCUCACCAGUGGACCAGCAAAAGCCACAAGGGAAGAUGCAGAAGGUGAUAUCUAAAAAACGCACAUGUGUUUCAGCCAUCUUAAAGGAAAUUUCUCAAAAGCAAGCUGCAGUUCCCCUUAAUGAGGACAAACCUCAAGCCAUCGCUGGUACCUCCAGAGAAAUAUCACACAUUAAAACAGAAG